ACACCUCAACUCUCGUGGUCCGCCACGACGAGCUUGGACUUUGGGGGUCUUGCCGGACCAGCGUCGGCUCCUCUAAAAUGGAUCAGCUUGCCAGUGUUUGGCGGCGUCACAGGUGUGAUAACUAUCUACGCUUGUGGUUCCGUGUCAUGCAACCUUUGGUGACGGAGGUCCGCUGGAGCUCACAGAUGUCUCUCCUCGUGAGGACAGCAUUUUGAAC
rnacentral:misc_RNA from 1 species